AUGUUGUUUUACACGUUUAUUAUUUUACAUGUUUAUUUUCAGGCAACCCAAGCUCCAACCACAAUAUGCCUGAAGCACCAGGAAACCUGUGCCACCGCUACCAAGAAGCAAAAGGCUAAAAUGCAGCAAAAGCCAUCAACUAAUGACGGUCUAUCCAAGCCCCCACUAAAAUCUGCUCCGGCUCACCAGAAAACCUGUGCCAGUGCCACUAAGAAGAAAAAGGUGAAAACUUCCUGCAAGCCACCAGGUAUUGGUGAGAAUCUUGAGCCUUCAUUCUCCAGGGAUCGGUCAUGUGGGAGAGAUGAGAGAUGCCCCUCACCAAAGCGCUGCAAAGGCUCAGACCCUUUUCCUAUGCCGGAAAAUUUUGAAAAAAGGAGUCCUAUAUCUCGUUUGUGA
rnacentral:lncRNA from 1 species